rnacentral:rRNA from 1 species
AGGACUAACGCUGGCGGCGUGCCUAACACAUGCAAGUCGAACGAGAGUAGCAAUACUCUAGUGGCAGACGGGUGAGUAACACGUGGUCAACCUACCUCUAUGUGGGGGAUAACUAGCCGAAAGGUUAGCUAAUACCGCAUACGAUCGUCGAGCGGCAUCGCUUGACGAUGAAAGGAGCAAUCCGCAGAGAGACGGGACCGCGUCCCAUUAGCUAGUUGGUGGGGUAAAGGCCUACCAAGGCGACGAUGGGUAGCUGGCUUGAGAGAGCGACCAGCCACACUGGGACUGAGACACGGCCCAGACUCCUACGGGAGGCAGCAGUGAGGAAUUUUCCGCAAUGGGCGAAAGCCUGACGGAGCGACGCCGCGUGUGGGAAGAAGGCCUUCGGGUCGUAAACCACUGUCGAAGGGGAAGAUAUUGACGGUACCCUUGGAGGAAGCCCGGCUAACUACGUGCCAGCAGCCGC